ACGGCCGCCUUGGCGCGGUCGAUCACGUCGAAGAACCGGAGGCUGGGGUUGUUGGGCGGCGCGUCCUUCUCCGCCGUGUUGUUCGGGUUCGUCGUCGAGUCGAUCAGCACCGAGCCGUCGCAGCCCUGCAAAGGAGGUUUAAGCGUCGGUGCCGUCACUCUCAGUCAUGGAAGUGCAAGCGGAUCAGCGCCGGAGCGACGCCGGAGUUGUUUCUGAACGCGUCGGCGACGGUCUGCUGCACGAUGGUCUCGGCGGCGGGGCACAUCCUGUCGUAGAAGCCGAAGUCGAGGCAGGCGGCGGCCGAGAGGAGCCCCGCCAGGAGCGUUGCGAAGCGUAGGAUGUUAGGAUGCUUUGCCGGCCUGUAGGAAACGGAGGGGCAGUUCGGUCACGGUGGAAGACACAACGAUACUUAGUGUGGUGUAAAAACUUCUGCAAGUCGUUGGAUCAAGAAACAGUACUCUGAACAUUCGUCAAAAAUAGUCUGCAGGGCCCCGGCAUCGCCAUAGCUCUCCGGUAACCUGAUUGGUUUCUUCAUCCUCUUACUACUUCAACUACUUCUCCAGUGAAGUUCUACAACUCUAUCAGCUUCUUUCAGGCAAAGCUCCCUCCAUUUCUGCAAGUACCUAACACAGUAUGGCAUUGAACAGUUAUUUUAUUUUUAUUAUUCAAUUAUAAACAAGCAUGCAAAGAUGCCUGUGGUGAUGAUUUUUCUCAUGCCCUUAUUGAAUUCUCAGUUAGAUGGUAUGGAGUACCUGGUACUCCCUCUGUUCCUCGUUUUGACUUUUCUAGAUUCAUAGAUAUUAUUAUGCAUCUAGAUAUACACUAUAUUUAGAUGUACAAUAAUAUUUAUGCACCUAAAAAAGUCAAAACAACCUACAAUUUGAAACGAAGGGAGUAGUAGUUUAACUCAUUUGAAACUAGAUUGUAUAUUUAGGAACCUUUGAAACCUGUUUUUUUAGUGCAGUUCAAAUACUUUGUUGGUAGUUGGCACACCCGUAGACCUGGUGACUUCACCUAACAUGUGAUUUGUUUUGGUUAUUUUCUUGCAUUGCGCUUCUAAUGAGUCCUAUAUCACCAACAAAUCAAACCGGAGAAAAUAUUAGCAAGUAGAGCACAAGAGAACAGAACGUUCCAAUACAAUACCAUCAUCUUGCAUUAUAAUUUAGAGCAACCAUCUUAUAAAAGAUUGGUGCACACACGAGCAGUCAAACCAUUAUCAGUAUGUCAUGACAACAUUAUCCUACAUUGUUGAGUCCCCAAAACAAAUCCAGUCUAGUGUGACAUUAGGAUUAAUAAUGUAGGCUGUAUAUCAUCAUAUUGACAAAUUCAGCUUUUCUUAUUUUCUGUACGAUGAUAUUUUGUAACAAAUUAUGCACGGAUUCAGUAUACAUGCACCCGCAUAUUGAUAUAAAGCUUAUUACAAUACUUUAUUUGGCCCAUGGGCGUGUAUAAAUCAUCAAUAUUUUUGUUAAUGUACAGGUGCAAUUAAAUGGAAAAUAAGUAUGUGUGCUUAUAUUACACCAAGGCUAAUAAAAUAUAAUUGUGUAGUGCAUUUUGACAAUAUAUACCGGUGGCGUAAUUCUUUAUUGCCCCACCAGUCAGCAAUUUUUAUGUUGUAAACAAACAAUUGGAACAGUAAAGUCCGUCAUGGGCUGGCGAGAGCUGAAAACACAUGAACAUGGCCUUGAGCUCUAAUCAGGCCCACAAAUUAGUGGUUUAACAUGCAUGGAUGCGCGGGUGUGGUGGGCCUUGAGCUCUAAUCAGGCCCACAAAUUAGCGAUUAACUAGCAUUCUCGGAUUUUCUAUGACGUUAGUUAUAUGCAAUCUUUCUGGGUCACUUGCUAGCUGUUGUGGAUAAAGAUAGUGUUUGGUUCGUGUUAAGGUAGGGAAUCGGAUUACAGUGUAUUUGGCGGUGGAAUGGGUGGUUACUCUCUUUGGUUGCACUCUGGUAGCAUAAUCAGAUUACGGUGUGGGUGUUGUAUCUGAUUAUGGUGGGGGAGGAGGGAUAACAAGCUUGUAUAGAUAUUAUUUAGGUAAAUGAUUCGAUUACAGUAUCACUUGAUUACGAACCACCGCAACCAAACAUAUGUAAUGGGAUUCAUUAACUUCAGUAAUCAGAUUACGUUACAUUUGAGCCAACCAAACACCACCGUGCAUGUCAUACCAAGGGAAACCGACACUGCUGCAUCUACCACGUACACUACAUCCAUUUAGCCAUUCUUCCAGUUUAGAGGAGCCAACGUCGCACUGCCGGAGAUCGCCAUGGUCGUGCCGAAACGGUGAGAGUCCACGUCGCUGGCUUUGUUUUCCUCACGUCUUUUGUUGUGCCGAAAUGGUGAGAGCCGGUAAGUGUGGAGGGGUCAAUACACAUUGACGCUGAACUGACGAAGCAACAGCCUGAAUUCCAUGCAUGCCAAGAAAGAGGUGGUGUCACUGAUGUGCACCAGAGAAGAAUAACUUCAGAUGCAGUUGGUACAUGCAGAGCACAGUCCCAGAGUUAGUUGGUGAAUUUUUUGUGCCAAAAGACAUGUAACGUGAAGGACGUGUCAGUCGACGUGCUGUCCAGGAUGUGUUAGUCGAUCUGUAUCAAAAUUUGAGAAUCAUAUAUAUAGGCACUGGAAUCACGGCAAGUUUGCCUGUCGGUGCACACUCUCAGUGAAGGCAGACUUCUCUGCAUGGCAGUUAUUAGUAGUAAAAAUUAAUGAAAUUUUUGUGUUUUCAGGAAGUUAGUUUUUCAUGUAAUAUCAGCAGUGAUUAAAAUAGCCGGCGCUAUUAUAGUACCGCAAUAGCGUUCUAGACAAGCAAUCACUAAGCUAUGCGCCAAUGUCUAUAAAUUCUGCUUACAGACUAUAGCUCCUUUAUCGAUCCGCUGUAUAUAGCGGCUUAGGACUUAGCGGCAAUAGCGUCCGCUUUGAUAUUAUAGUUCUUCAACCUUGAUUCAGAUAUAUAUGGUUAGAUCAUGAUUAGCACAUUGAUGUUCAUCGUCACUAUUAGUAAAGAUUGAUUCUUAACAGUCAAUAUAUAUGUAGGCCAAAAUAGCACUCCUUGUUCUUUAUAUGCUCUUUGUGCAGCAUGUUUAUUACAAACCAAAUCUAUUACUCCAACAAAAUAAGAAGUAAACCGACCAAAUUGAUAAACAAGACCUACAUAAACAUACCAAAACAAACUAAGCAAAAGAAUAAACAAACUCUAGCUACAAUUAUUAAAGGCAUCCACAACAGUUGUAUCCAUAAAACUUCCAAAUCCAAAUGGCAGGCCACACUUGGUAUGCUAGGGGUUUUAGAGCAAUGAGUCUGAUCAUGGGUCGAGUUGAUGACAGGUCUGAUGCUGCAGCUUUUCACAUGGCAGUCGGCUUCACAACCUAGCAUCAUGAACCUGGGUCCCACAUCAUAGCACAACCUGAAACAUCCCAUUACCUUUGCAAGAACUGUCCAUACACCAAGGAUGUGUGGAACAUGAUCACUUCUUGAACUGGUUUACAUUCAUUGCAGAAUUUGAAACAGUCGAUUUCUCUUUAUGCAUGGUGGCUAAAAUGCAAGGUGCGAGUGGAUAAAAAAGACAGACAAACUUUCAACAGCCUAAUGAUAUACUUUUGGUGGAAUGUUUGGAAAGAAAAAAACCGGCGCAUUUUUCAACAUAAAUUCUUGCCACCACUACAAUUGGCGCUGCUCAUCAAGUAAGACAUGAACCAGUAUAGACUUGCAUUCAAUGGUCGAAACGAAGCUACAGAUGAUCAGUCAUAGUUGCGUGUGGUCCUUCCAUCCUGUGUCGUUUUUUCUUUUGCGCUUGGAGAUGCCUUCCUUUUCUUUGGUUGUACUGUUGUAUUAGUCGUCCUUCUCCCCUCGUGUUAUUGAUCGUAGUUGUAUGUGUAGCAUUCUUUAGGUCUCCAUAUAUAGCUG